rnacentral:rRNA from 1 species
UACGAAGGGGGCUAGCGUUGCUCGGAAUCACUGGGCGUAAAGCGCACGUAGGCGGCUUUUUAAGUCAGGGGUGAAAUCCUGGAGCUCAACUCCAGAACUGCCUUUGAUACUGAGAAGCUUGAGUCCGGGAGAGGUGAGUGGAACUGCGAGUGUAGAGGUGAAAUUCGUAGAUAUUCGCAAGAACACCAGUGGCGAAGGCGGCUCACUGGCCCGGUACUGACGCUGAGGUGCGAAAGCGUGGGGAG